rnacentral:antisense_RNA from 1 species
UCGAUCUGCCGGCCGAACGCGUUGCGCCGG